rnacentral:rRNA from 1 species
CCUACGGGAGGCAGCAGUGGGGAAUAUUGCACAAUGGGCGCAAGCCUGAUGCAGCCAUGCCGCGUGUGUGAAGAAGGCCUUCGGGUUGUAAAGCACUUUCAGCGGGGAGGAAGGCGGUGAGGUUAAUAACCUCAUCGAUUGACGUUACCCGCAGAAGAAGCACCGGCUAACUCCGUGCCAGCAGCCGCGGUAAUACGGAGGGUGCAAGCGUUAAUCGGAAUUACUGGGCGUAAAGCGCACGCAGGCGGUCUGUCAAGUCGGAUGUGAAAUCCCCGGGCUCAACCUGGGAACUGCAUUCGAAACUGGCAGGCUAGAGUCUUGUAGAGGGGGGUAGAAUUCCGGGUGUAGCGGUGAAAUGCGUAGAGAUCUGGAGGAAUACCGGUGGCGAAGGCGGCCCCCUGGACAAAGACUGACGCUCAGGUGCGAAAGCGUGGGGAGCAAACAGGAUUAGAUACCCCGGUAGUC